GAGUGAACGCUGGCGGUAGGCCUAACACAUGCAAGUCGAACGGCAGCACAGGAGAGCUUGCUCUCUGGGUGGCGAGUGGCGGACGGGUGAGGAAUACAUCGGAAUYUACCUUUUYGUGGGGGAUAACGUAGGGAAACUUACGCUAAUACCGCAUACGACCUUCGGGUGAAAGCAGGGGACCUUCGGGCCUUGCGCGGAUAGAUGAGCCGAUGUCGGAUUAGCUAGUUGGCGGGGUAAAGGCCCACCAAGGCGACGAUCCGUAGCUGGUCUGAGAGGAUGAUCAGCCACACUGGAACUGAGACACGGUCCAGACUCCUACGGGAGGCAGCAGUGGGGAAUAUUGGACAAUGGGCGCAAGCCUGAUCCAGCCAUACCGCGUGGGUGAAGAAGGCCUUCGGGUUGUAAAGCCCUUUUGUUGGGAAAGAAAAGCAGUCGGCUAAUACCCGAU
rnacentral:rRNA from 1 species